rnacentral:tRNA from 1 species
GGAGGGGUGUCCGAGUGGUUGAAGGAGGCGGUCUUGAAAACCGCUGCCCUGUUUUCAGGGCCGUGGGUUCGAAUCCCACCCCCUCCGCCG